rnacentral:rRNA from 1 species
AUUGAACGCUGGCGGCAUGCUUUACACAUGCAAGUCGAACGGUAACAGGCCGCAAGGUGCUGACGAGUGGCGAACGGGUGAGUAAUGCAUCGGAACGUGCCCAGUCGUGGGGGAUAACGCAGCGAAAGCUGUGCUAAUACCGCAUACGAUCUAUGGAUGAAAGCGGGGGACCGUAAGGCCUCGCGCGAUUGGAGCGGCCGAUGUCAGAUUAGCUAGUUGGUGGGGUAAAGGCCCACCAAGGCGACGAUCUGUAGCUGGUCUGAGAGGACGACCAGCCAAACUGGGACUGAGAAACGGCCCAGAGUCCUACGGGAGGCAGCAGUGGGGAAUUUUGGACAAUGGGCGCAAGCCUGAUCCAGCAAUGCCGCGUGCAGGAAGAAGGCCUUCGGGUUGUAAACUGCUUUUGUACGGAACGAAACGGUCCGGGUUAAUACCCUGGGCUAAUGACGGUACCGUAAGAAUAAGCACCGGCUAACUACGUGCCAGCAGCCGCCGUAA